rnacentral:rRNA from 11 species
AAAUUGAAGAGUUUGAUCAUGGCUCAGAUUGAACGCUGGCGGCAGGCCUAACACAUGCAAGUCGAACGGUAACAGGAAACAGCUUGCUGUUUCGCUGACGAGUGGCGGACGGGUGAGUAAUGUCUGGGAAACUGCCUGAUGGAGGGGGAUAACUACUGGAAACGGUAGCUAAUACCGCAUAACGUCGCAAGACCAAAGAGGGGGACCUUCGGGCCUCUUGCCAUCGGAUGUGCCCAGAUGGGAUUAGCUAGUAGGUGGGGUAACGGCUCACCUAGGCGACGAUCCCUAGCUGGUCUGAGAGGAUGACCAGCCACACUGGAACUGAGACACGGUCCAGACUCCUACGGGAGGCAGCAGUGGGGAAUAUUGCACAAUGGGCGCAAGCCUGAUGCAGCCAUGCCGCGUGUAUGAAGAAGGCCUUCGGGUUGUAAAGUACUUUCAGCGGGGAGGAAGGGAGUAAAGUUAAUACCUUUGCUCAUUGACGUUACCCGCAGAAGAAGCACCGGCUAACUCCGUGCCAGCAGCCGCGGUAAUACGGAGGGUGCAAGCGUUAAUCGGAAUUACUGGGCGUAAAGCGCACGCAGGCGGUUUGUUAAGUCAGAUGUGAAAUCCCCGGGCUCAACCUGGGAACUGCAUCUGAUACUGGCAAGCUUGAGUCUCGUAGAGGGGGGUAGAAUUCCAGGUGUAGCGGUGAAAUGCGUAGAGAUCUGGAGGAAUACCGGUGGCGAAGGCGGCCCCCUGGACGAAGACUGACGCUCAGGUGCGAAAGCGUGGGGAGCAAACAGGAUUAGAUACCCUGGUAGUCCACGCCGUAAACGAUGUCGACUUGGAGGUUGUGCCCUUGAGGCGUGGCUUCCGGAGCUAACGCGUUAAGUCGACCGCCUGGGGAGUACGGCCGCAAGGUUAAAACUCAAAUGAAUUGACGGGGGCCCGCACAAGCGGUGGAGCAUGUGGUUUAAUUCGAUGCAACGCGAAGAACCUUACCUGGUCUUGACAUCCACAGAACUUUCCAGAGAUGGAUUGGUGCCUUCGGGAACUGUGAGACAGGUGCUGCAUGGCUGUCGUCAGCUCGUGUUGUGAAAUGUUGGGUUAAGUCCCGCAACGAGCGCAACCCUUAUCCUUUGUUGCCAGCGGUCCGGCCGGGAACUCAAAGGAGACUGCCAGUGAUAAACUGGAGGAAGGUGGGGAUGACGUCAAGUCAUCAUGGCCCUUACGACCAGGGCUACACACGUGCUACAAUGGCGCAUACAAAGAGAAGCGACCUCGCGAGAGCAAGCGGACCUCAUAAAGUGCGUCGUAGUCCGGAUUGGAGUCUGCAACUCGACUCCAUGAAGUCGGAAUCGCUAGUAAUCGUGGAUCAGAAUGCCACGGUGAAUACGUUCCCGGGCCUUGUACACACCGCCCGUCACACCAUGGGAGUGGGUUGCAAAAGAAGUAGGUAGCUUAACCUUCGGGAGGGCGCUUACCACUUUGUGAUUCAUGACUGGGGUGAAGUCGUAACAAGGUAACCGUAGGGGAACCUGCGGUUGGAUCACCUCCUUACCUUAAAGAAGC